CCGACCUUAGCUCAGUUGGUAGAGUGGAAGACUGUCGUGUAAGUAGACAAUCUUUAGGUAGUUGGUUCGAUUCCGGCAGGUUGGA